UGGGACAACAAUUGCACAGCCAAUAGAGGAAAUGUUGACAGCCCUUCGUUAUGUCCCAAAACUGAUUAAUUCAGCAAACAAAUUCGGCCUUGAUCUCCCUGCACCAUCGGCAUCAUUUUCAGGAGACAUUGAAAUUGAAAUGAGGAGGUACUUGCCCAGUACACUCUGACUGACAAGUCUGGGAAAAGGGGCCCCUAAACGUCAGUUGACCAAAGUGCAGGCCAUAACUGGUAUUUGAUGGUGGGUGAUGCAGUGCAGUCCAAGAAAUAAGAAAAUGUUCUGUUAUUCUUCUGCGUUGGAAGCAUUUCCAUUGUUUCAGCAAAC